rnacentral:rRNA from 1 species
UCUAUUGGUGAGGACGUGAAAUACGAGAUAACAAGGGAGGUUCUUUAAACUUGUUUAUCCUGACUGAAAGGGGUGAAUUGUGUAGUUAAUUGAAACAUCUUACUAGACUAUGAGGAAUACAUCAACUGAGAUUCCGUGCGUAGCGGCGAGCGAUAGCGGAUUUGUCUCUACAGAUAUAAGAUGAUUGGACAUCUAGACUAAACCCCAAUAGACACCUAUAGAGAAAGUACCGUAAGGGAAAGACUUAGAAUUGGUUCUUAAAGUUACCUUUUGCAUAAUGGGCCUGCGAGACAGUAUUUGGCAAGCUUAGGUAUUAAAUGAAGGCGUAGUGAGAGCAUGAGAUUAUCUCGUCAGUCAAAUAUCCCGAAACCAAGUGAUCUAACCACGGCCAGGUAGCCUUGCUGACCGAACCAGUGAUUGUGGCAAAAAUCUUGGACGAGCUGUGGUUAGCGGUGAAAUACUAGACGAACUUGGACAUUGCUGGUUCUCUGCGAAACUUAUCUUAGUUAGGCGCCCCUAGUGGAUUUGCCCCCAAACCCGGGGAUUAAUAAGUGGGGUAGUAAGACUAUGGUGACAAGGCCUCUAGUCAAGUGGGGUAAGCCCUAACCAGAAAUUAAAGCCACCAACACAGAUUAAGUGUAUAAAGAGGGCCCUAACCAGAAAUUAAAGCCACCAACACAGAUUAAGUGUAUAAAGAGGGUUCAACUUGGACAAACAGGAAGUAGGCUUGGAAACAGCCAUCUGCUCCGGAAAACGUAACAGUUCACUGAGUAAGCUUGGAAACUCUAAGAAUCAGGGCGGCUAAAUCUGAGGCUGAUAUUCUGGAAGCCAAUGGCUGGCUUGGUAGCAGAGCGUUCUGUGGGCACAAUCGGUGCGCACCUCGGAAGAAUAACAGAAGCGAUAAUGCAGGCAUGAGUAGUUAAGGAUUCACACCCAAAUAAUUCACACACAGCUUCUAAGGGCACUUUGCCCGAUGGAAUAAAUUUCUGUUCCUGUACAGGAAAAAUAUUAUGGUGCUCAGCACCUUCUACUGUAGUGAGUGGGUCUCAGACCUAGGCAUAAUUUCUCCUAAGGAACUCGGCAAAAUAAGAUCUCGGCUGUUUACCAAAAACAUAGCUCUCUGCUAAAGCACACUGAAGUAUAGAGGGUGAAUUCUGCCCUAUGGUUGUACAGUAAAACUAAGGACUAACGUCUAAAGCUAAACCCUUCUAAAUGGCCGCGGUAACUCUGACCGUGAUAAUGUAGCACAAUAAAUAGCCAAUUAAUUGUUGGCGGGUAUGAAUGGAACCACGAGGGUCUUACUGUCUCAGGAGGAAAGCCGAUGAAAUUAUAGUUGUAGUGAAGAUACUACAUAAACAUUGUAAGACGAAAAGACCCUAUCGAGCUUUACUGGAUACCGACAGCGUUAACUAAAUAUGAUUGAAGCAUCCUAAUAAUUAGUUAACAAUUUGUUGGUGGGACAGUUUAGUUGGGGCGACUACCUUUGAAUAAGAAACGAAGGCGUGCUUAUGGUAUAAGCUAAUCACAUUAGCCUAACAGUAAGGGGGACACCCCUAGCUGGCACAAGGACUGCGUCCCAUGUGGGCGAUAAUGACCCGAUAUGAUAGUCCAAAAUAAAUAUCGAAAGCGGAUAAAAGCUACCGUAGGGAUAACAGCGUAAUAUUGUCGGAGAGUUCCUAUCGAGGACAGUGUUUGCGACCUCGAUGUUGAAUUGCGGUGCCCUGGUGCUGUAGUAGGUACCUCAGGUUGGUCUGUUCGACCAUGAAAACCGUACAUGAUUUGAGUUCAGAGCGUGGUGACACAGCUCGGUUUCUAUCUACAAUGUUAGUCCCAACCUUCUGACACCUAGUACGCAAGGAAUGGUCUCAGCGAUGCUCGGCUAUUGGCCCAUCGACGUCAUAACUUCUGGCUGCUGCAAAGAAGGAAUACAAAGGUUAGGGAUUAAGAGCCACGAAAGUGGCGCAGCUUCCUGUACCAUGUGGGUGCAUAGCCCCAGGUACACCAUGGAAUUAUCACUAGGGCUCAUCAUACUUAUAGUGUUGACGUAUGGAUUAAAGGCCCCGACAUUAAGAUUAGCUAUCCUACUUGCGGGUGCUGUAGGGGCUGCAGGGCUAUUAGCUGAGCCCCAUCUACUAUGUUGGACUCAGGCUAUUAAGAUGUUGGUGAUGCUAGGUGGGUUAGCUAUACU